AGCAGUUUCAAAACUGCAGUUCCGAGAUUUCAGCGGAAUUAAUUUGAGCGACGAUUUCACAACCCAAUCUCUCUCUUCUCUCUCCGUCAAUUAAAUUCUCAUUCAUUCUCUCUUCCCCCAAUUCAAUCCUUCCCCAAACCCUAGACGCCACCAAAUCUAACUGUGGAAUUGAAUUCAUGCCUAAUUUUCGCCGUCAACAAGACGAAAAUUGUACAUUAUUCCAUCGUACGACAGCUUUAGAAGACCGAUUCCAGUGAUUUCAGCGUAGGGGAACAACAAACUCACGAUUUGCAGUCAUUUUGCAGUGAGUAAUUGCGUAUUUGUGCUUAAUACGGAAAAUGCUGAAGAGGGGUCGCUCUUCCAAUAGCCAGGCAAGUCAAAAGACAUGUGUGUGAACUAUAUGUUACAACACAUUUUUAUACAUUGUUAAAGCUAAUUUGUACAUUAUUUACCACGGGUUUGCUACAUUAUCUUGUGGUAUGGUAUGAAAUGUGUUACAUUAUCAGCUCAAUAUGAUCUUCUGUACUGAUGGACUAUAUUAAUUCUGUAUUAUGGUAUGAUCUGUUAUAAUUUUAAAUGUUUAGAGUUACAUUAUAUGCUUCAUAAGGAUACAUUAUCUGCUUACAGUAGACCGUGAUACAUUAUUUAGGCGUAUGUUUACAUUAUUAUAUACAAGUAAUUUGUUAUAUUAUUGUUUGUUUUUGUUUGUAUUGUUACAUUAAUAUGAUUAUUGAGUUACAUCGUAUGCUUCUUGGUUUUGUAUUUGCUUACCAUAUGAUUUGAUACAUUAUUUAAGCAAAUGCUUACAUUAUUUCAAACUGAUGUUCUACAUUGUUGUGUGUUAAAACUAAAGAAUGUUACAUUAAUAAACUUGUUCAGUUACAUUAUCUGCUCCCUAUUGGUACAGUAAAUAAGCUUACAUUACGCCUUUACACAUCGUUGCAACUGAUACUUACAUUAUUUCGUACCGAUGUGUUACAUUUAGUUUGUUAUUGCCAAUAAUGUAAUUCUGUGUUUUCUAGUAAUGUAACAUUAUGACUAAUCAAUGUUUAAUUUUCUGAAUAUGUACAAACAAGGCCAGAGUCGAUUAUGAUGAGGAUUUCAACGAUGACAUGCCUAUUGCAUUAGCGCAUCGGUUGCGACAAGAAAUGCCAGAAGAAAUGUUUAUUUGCUUAGAUUAGGAUGUGAUACAUUAUGCAAAUGUUUACAUUAUUUUGACUAGGACAUAUUACCAACACUUUCAUGUAAUUUAUGUUUUUACUUUUGUAUUUUUGGUUUCAUAGAGAAAUUAAUGUGCGAAUACGGUUUGUUAAUGCAUGAAUCCCACACAUUAAUGUAAA